rnacentral:rRNA from 1 species
GAUGAACGCUAGCGGCAGGCUUAAUACAUGCAAGUCGAGGGGUAGCAAGAUUGUAGCAAUACAAUUGUUGACGACCGGCAAACGGGUGCGGAACACGUACACAACCUUCCUACAAGUGGGGAAUAGCCCAGAGAAAUUUGGAUUAAUACCCCGUAACAUAGCGAUGUGGCAUCACAUUGCUAUUAUAGCUUCGGCGCUUGUUGAUGGGUGUGCGGCUGAUUAGAUAGUUGGCGGGGUAACGGACCACCAAGUCUACGAUCAGUAGCUGAUGUGAGAGCAUGAUCAGCCACACGGGCACUGAGACACGGGCCCGACUCCUACGGGAGGCAGCAGUAAGGAAUAUUGGACAAUGGACGCAAGUCUGAUCCAGCCAUGCCGCGUGAAGGAUUAAGGUCCUCUGGAUUGUAAACUUCUUUUAUAAGGGACGAAAAAAGGUCUUUCUAGAUCGUCUGACGGUACCUUAUGAAUAAGCACCGGCUAACUCCGUGCCAGCAGCCGCCGUAAGAC